rfam:Dictyostelium lacteum strain TK GAOABQK02H81I9, whole genome shotgun sequence.
UCCAAGGUAGCAUAAUUGGCAGUGCGUGUAUCUCGUAAUUUUACAUGAUAAUACACGAUCCAGGUUCAAACCCUGGCCUUGGAA